AGUGAACGCUGGCGGCGUGCCUAAUACAUGCAAGUCGAACGGAGUGGCGCACGGGUGAGUAAUAUAUAGCUAAUCUGCCCCUUGCUGGGGGACAACCGUUAGAAAUGACUGCUAAUACUCCAUAACAAGGGAUGAGACUAUAUCGUAUCAGCUGGUCGGUGGGGUAACGGCCUACCGAGGCUAUGACGCGGAACUGGUCUGAGUGGAUGAUCAGUCACAGUGGAACUUAGAAACGGUCCAAACACCUACGGGAAGCAGCAGUAGGGAGUAAUGCGCAAGGGGCGAAGCCCUGACGCAGCAGCGCCGCGUGGAGGAUGACACUUUUCGGGGCGUAAACUCCGUUUGUUAUGGAAGCGGUACCUAACGAAGAAGCACCGGCUAACUCCGUGCCAGCAGCCGCGGUAAUUC
rnacentral:rRNA from 1 species